rnacentral:rRNA from 1 species
CCUACGGGAGGCAGCAGUGGGGAAUAUUGCACAAUGGGCGCAAGCCUGAUGCAGCGACGCCGCGUGAGGGAUGACGGCCUUCGGGUUGUAAACCUCUUUCAGCAGGGACGAAGCGCAAGUGACGGUACCUGCAGAAGAAGCACCGGCCAACUACGUGCCAGCAGCCGCGGUAAUACGUAGGGUGCAAGCGUUGUCCGGAAUUACUGGGCGUAAAGAGCUCGUAGGCGGUUUGUCGCGUCGUCUGUGAAAACCAGCAGCUCAACUGUUGGCUUGCAGGCGAUACGGGCAGACUUGAGUAUUUCAGGGGAGACUGGAAUUCCUGGUGUAGCGGUGAAAUGCGCAGAUAUCAGGAGGAACACCGGUGGCGAAGGCGGGUCUCUGGGAAAUAACUGACGCUGAGGAGCGAAAGCGUGGGUAGCGAACAGGAUUAGAUACCCUGGUAGUCCACGCCGUAAACGGUGGGCGCUAGGUGUGGGUUUCCUUCCACGGGAUCCGUGCCGUAGCUAACGCAUUAAGCGCCCCGCCUGGGGAGUACGGCCGCAAGGCUAAAACUCAAAGGAAUUGACGG